AGCAGCCGCGGUAAUUCCAGCUCCAAUAGCGUAUAUUAAAGUUGUUGCAGUUAAAAAGCUCGUAGUUGAACUUCGGGGUUUACCCAUUGGUCAGGCUUAAUUGUCUGUACUGGUGAGAUAAAUCUCUACCUUCUGAGGAACUUUCAUGUCAUUAAUUUGGUGUGAUUGGAAAUCAGGACUGUUACUUUGAAAAAAUUAGAGUGUUUAAAGCAGGCUAACGUCUGAAUACAUUAGCAUGGAAUAAUGAAAUAGGACGGACUGAUUCUAUUUCGUUGGUUUCUAGGAUCACCGUAAUGAUUAAUAGGGAUAGUUGGGGGCAUUAGUAUUCAAUUGUCAGAGGUGAAAUUCUUGGAUUUAUUGAAGACUAACUACUGCGAAAGCAUUUGCCAAGGAUGUUUUCAUUAAUCAAGAACGAAAGUUAGGGGAUCGAAGACGAUCAGAUACCGUCGUAGUCUUAACCAUAAACUAUGCCGACUAGGGAUCGGACGAAGUUAUUAUAAUUGACGCGUUCGGCACCUUA
rnacentral:rRNA from 1 species